rnacentral:rRNA from 1 species
AUUGAACGCUGGCGGCAUGCCUUACACAUGCAAGUCGAACGGUAACGCGGGGCAACCUGGCGACGAGUGGCGAACGGGUGAGUAAUGCAUCGGAACGUGCCCAGUAGUGGGGGAUAGCCCGGCGAAAGCCGGAUUAAUACCGCAUAUGACCUACGGGUGAAAGCGGGGGAUCGCAAGACCUCGCGCUAUUGGAGCGGCCGAUGUCAGAUUAGGUUGUUGGUGAGGUAAAGGCUCACCAAGCCGACGAUCUGUAGCUGGUCUGAGAGGACGACCAGCCACACUGGGACUGAGACACGGCCCAGACUCCUACGGGAGGCAGCAGUGGGGAAUUUUGGACAAUGGGCGCAAGCCUGAUCCAGCCAUGCCGCGUGCGGGAAGAAGGCCUUCGGGUUGUAAACCGCUUUUGUCGGGGAAGAAAUCUUCUGGGCUAAUACCCCGGGAGGAUGACGGUACCCGAAGAAUAAGCACCGGCUAACUACGUGCCAGCAGCCGCGGUAAUACGUAGGGUGCAAGCGUUAAUCGGAAUUACUGGGCGUAAAGCGUGCGCAGGCGGUGAUGCAAGACAGAUGUGAAAUCCCCGGGCUUAACCUGGGAACUGCAUUUGUGACUGCAUGGCUAGAGUCCGCAAGAGGGGGGUGGAAUUCCACGUGUAGCAGUGAAAUGCGUAGAGAUGUGGAGGAACACCGAUGGCGAAGGCAGCCCCCUGGGGUGAGACUGACGCUCAUGUACGAAAGCGUGGGGAGCAAACAG